CGACUUAGCUCAACUGGCAGAGCAACUGAUUUGUAAUCAGUAGGUUGGCGGUUCGAUUCCGUUAGUCGG
rnacentral:tRNA from 3 species